ensembl:lncRNA LMNTD2-AS1 LMNTD2 antisense RNA 1
UUUCAGAGAGGUCGCUUGGGUCCAUCAGAGUCUCUGCCGUCACUACCUGCAAGAGGGGACCGGAAGCCAGUGGGCAGGGGCUGGGUGCUCCCCUACAGCACCUCUCCUCUUUGACCUCACCUGUGCUUUGAGGCCUCCUGAUUCCUCCCUGCUGGAGCCCAGAGUUCCAGAGGCACCUGAGCAGGGCAGGCUUCCAGGCAGGCCAGGGCGCCCCAGCAGAGGCACCCGACGAGAUGGGGAGGGCUGGGGAGGGCAGCCUGGGGCAGGAGGGCUUGGGGGACAGGCUCACCUCCACACUGCCAGUCUGGGAUCGUAGCAUGCGGCCCACCCACGAGGAGCGGGCCAGCUGCAGGAGGCAGGACUUCUGCAAGUUCUGCAGCUCGGCCUCCAUCUCCUGGAGCGUGCGGGUGGUCUGCAGCAGCCGCUCCUCCAGGUGCUCCUUCUCCUGCUCCGAGAGGGCCUGUGGUUGGUGGUGGGGGGGUGUCUUCUGCAGAAGGCCCCCAGGCCAGCCCCAGCCUGGCUCCCCAACACCAGGACCCUGCCCACUCCCUGUGCCCCUGCCUCACCCACUGGGCUCGCUCCUUCUGUUCCUUCAACUCCUGGAUCAGCUUCUGGACCUGGUUCUGCAGGAGUUUCUCCUGACUGUGGGAGCUCCUGGAGGAGGGGUGACCUCAGCAGCCCCCACCCUGCUCAGGCAGGGGUUCCUAAUGUCAGGUCAGUGGCGAAGGAGGGGAGAAGGAGGGGCUCCACUGCCACCUUGGCCCCAAGGGCACACAGUACAGCCCCGCUGGGGCUGGCCAGCCUCCGGCUGGUCUGGACAAGGGUCUAGCACCCAUCCACAUGCGCAGGGUUAGGGUGGAGGCUAUAGCGUGUUAACUUAGGAUCAGGGUGGAGGGUCAGCGCGGGCAAGGAUGAGGGUAAGGAUCUGCCUCAGCGGUUGGGGUUGGGGUCAGACAGAAACCAGGAGUCCGGGCGAGGACAGGGCGGGGUUGGGUUGGGCUGGGGACUGUGCUGCAGACCUCUUGGGCGGAAGCCCCGCCACCUCUUCCAGGAUGUGGCAGAGCCGGGCGUCCUCGCCAUUCUGGAUGGCCCACCGCAAGGCCUGGAUCUCCAGUUCUCGCUGUCUCCACAGCAGCCGCAGUGUGCGAGGGUCCAGGGACUCAAGAGCCAACCUGCAGCGGCAGCAGACCCUGCUGCUUACUCAGGCCGGCCCCUGGCCACCUGGCCCAGGAGGCUCACCAGUCCUCCCUCUCCUCCUUACUGCGGGUCGGCAGAGCAGACCACCGGUGCGGGGUGGGGCGUGGUGUCUGGCAGGCACGUGGGAGUCUCGGGGGCUGCAGGUGCGCCUGCUGGAGGUCCCAGGUGACCACUGACCGACUCUUGCUCUGUGGGGGACAGGAGAGCCUCUUCCUCGGUUUCUUCAACCUCCUGGCCAGACUUGGGGGCCAUUCUCAAUGUUCUUCGGGAGCUGGGAGGGGUGGGGGGCCCGUCUGCCGUGUGCGCCUCGUGUGGCCACACAGGUUGGAGCAGCCCAGGCGUCACCACUUACUCACAGAGCGUUGCUCUCUGAAGGGACCCACAUGUGGGUGUCCACACCCGUGUGUUUCUGACCAGGCUGGCGCAGCAGGUCACCACCCGACAUGUCCCUGGCGUGUACCCCUGCCACCCAGGUGCUGGCCCUUUGCCUGUGAUGUGGUGUCCCUCUUUCUCUCUCUUGUCCCCCCAGCUCAGGGCCCUACCCCCAGCACUCACCUGAGGCCCGACCUCCAAGCAGGCCUGGGAGGGAAGGGCUGUAUACCGUUGCCAUGGAUACCAGCACCCAGAAGGGGUGGGGCUGUUUGUUACCAGGAGCCUCCAGGGAGACCCCAGACCAGGCCCCUAGAGACAGGGUCUUGCUCCGCUGUCCAGGCUGGAAUGCUUCGGUGUGAUGACAGCGCACGUUAACCUCGAAUUCCUGGGCUCAGGUGAUCCUCCCACUUCCGCCUCCUGACUUGCUGAAACUACAGGCACCCGCCUCCACCGCCAGGCCCAGCCCACAGCUCCUUUGACCUCAGUGACAGGCACUCACCUACCUGACCCCCAAACUGAAGCCUCACUUUUCCCAGCCGUGUCCACACCCUCUGGGCUACCCCAUUACCAUGACAAGUAUUCCCUCUGCUCCAGGAGAAAAGCCAGGUCCCAGACCUGACCCAUUAAAACCCAAUCAUUCC